GCGUGCGGGCACUCCAUUACCAUGUCCGUGCGUACAUAAAGAUAGGAGGAAAAAUUAACCGCUUGGCUUGCGGUGCGUCAGUGUGGAGACCUGACGUAAUGUCGCGCGUCCCAUCGCGGGCGGCGGCGAGGCACAUCAUUGCGGAGGCAGGUGUGCUAAAGCCGGGAAA
rnacentral:ncRNA from 1 species